UACGUAGGGGGCAAGCGUUGUCCGGAAUCAUUGGGCGUAAAGCGCGUGUAGGCGGUCCGGUAAGUCCGCUGUGAAAGUCGAGGGCUCAACCCUCGAAUGCCGGUGGAUACUGUCGGGCUUGAGUACGGGAGAGGCGAGUGGAAUUCCUGGUGUAGCGGUGAAAUGCGUAGAUAUCUGGAGGAACACCGGUGGCGAAGGCGGCAUCCUGGACCAAUACUGACACUGAGGAGCGAAAGCCAGGGGAGCAAACGGG
rnacentral:rRNA from 1 species